AAGGGGGGACGGCCCCCCUCCCAAUUCGGAUUGGGCUUGGGGACGGCCCUC
rnacentral:ncRNA from 1 species